rnacentral:rRNA from 1 species
UACAGAGGUCCCAAGCGUUGUUCGGAUUCACUGGGCGUAAAGGGUGCGUAGGUGGCUACUUUAAGUUUGAUGUGAAAGCUCCGGGCUCAACCCGGAAAUGGCAUUGAAGACUAUUGAGCUAGAGGUUUGGAGGGGGGACUGGAAUGCUUGGUGUAGCAGUGAAAUGCGUAGAUAUCAAGCGGAACACCGGUGGCGAAGGCGGGUCUCUGGGCCGAUACUGACGCUGAGGAGCGAAAGCGUGGGGAGCGAACAGG